rnacentral:rRNA from 1 species
AUUGAACGCUGGCGGCAGGCCUAACACAUGCAAGUCGAACGAGUGGCGGACGUAUGAGUUAUGUCUGUGAAACUGCCUGAUGGAGAGGGAUAACUACUGGACACGGUAGCUACUACCGCCUACCUUCGGCUGUGCCCAGAUGGGAUUAGCUUGUAGGGGGGGUAAAGGCUCACCUAGGCGACGAUCCCUAGCUGGUCUGAGAGGAUGACCAGGCACAAUGGAACUGAGACACGGUCCAGACUCCUACGGGAGGCAGCAGUGGGGAAUAUGGGACAAUGGGCGAAAGCCUGAUGCAGCCAUGCCGCGUGGAUGAAGAAGGCCUUCGGGUUGUAAAGGACUUUCAGCGGGGAGGCGUUACCCGCAGAAGAAGCACCGGCUAACUCCGUGCCAGCAGCCGCGGUAAUAC